UACGUAGGUGGCAAGCGUUACUCGGAAUCACUAGGCGUAAAGCGCAGGUAGGAGGUUUGGUAAGUCUGUUGUGAAAGCUCCCGGCUUAACUGGGAGAGGCCAACGGAAACUGCCAAGCUAGAGUGUGGUAGAGGAAGAUGGAAUUCCCGGUGUAGCGGUGAAAUGCGUAGAUAUCGGGAGGAAUACCUGUGGCGAAAGCAGUCUUCUGGACCAUCACUGACUCUGAUCUGCGAAAGCUAGGGGAGCAAACAGG
rnacentral:rRNA from 1 species